rnacentral:rRNA from 1 species
AACGGUAGCACAGAGAGCUUGCUCUCGGGUGACGAGUGGCGGACGGGUGAGUAAUGUCUGGGAAACUGCCUGAUGGAGGGGGAUAACUACUGGAAACGGUAGCUAAUACCGCAUAACGUCGCAAGACCAAAGAGGGGGACCUUCGGGCCUCUUGCCAUCAGAUGUGCCCAGAUGGGAUUAGCUAGUAGGUGGGGUAACGGCUCACCUAGGCGACGAUCCCUAGCUGGUCGUGAGAGGAUGACCAGCCACACUGGAACUGAGACACGGUCCAGACUCCUACGGGAGGCAGCAGUGGGGAAUAUUGCACAAUGGGCGCAAGCCUGAUGCAGCCAUGCCGCGUGUAUGAAGAAGGCCUUCGGGUUGUAAAGUACUUUCGGCGGGGAGGAAGGUGUUGCGGCUAAUAACCGCAGCAAUUGACGUUACCCGCAGAAGAAGCACCGGCUAACUCCGUGCCAGCAGCCGCGGUAAUACGGAGGGUGCAAGCGUUAAUCGGAAUUACUGGGCGUAAAGCGCACGCAGGCGGUCUGUCAGGUCGGAUGUGAAAUCCCCGGGCUCAACCUGGGAACUGCAUUCGAAACUGGCAGGCUAGAGUCUUGUAGAGGGGGGUAGAAUUCCAGGUGUAGCGGUGAAAUGCGUAGAGAUCUGGAGGAAUACCGGUGGCGAAGGCGGCCCCCUGGACAAAGACUGACGCUCAGGUGCGAAAGCGUGGGGAGCAAACAGG